rnacentral:rRNA from 1 species
UACGGAGGGUGCGAGCGUUGUCCGGAAUCACUGGGCGUAAAGGGCGCGUAGGCGGCCUGGCAAGUCGGUGGUGAAAGCCCGUGGCUCAACUACGGGUCGGCCACCGAUACUGCUAUGGCUCGAGUUUGGUAGAGGCAGAUGGAAUUCCGGGUGUAGCGGUGGAAUGCGUAGAGAUCCGGAAGAACACCGGUGGCGAAGGCGGCCAACUGGACGGUGACUGACACUGAGACGCGAAAGCGUGGGGAGCAAACAGG